CCCAAUCCCUAUAUCCGAUCUCACGAUACCAGGGGCAGGCGGAGGCCACCGCCGUUGUGCUCCUCCUGCCGCUCACCCCGACCACCACUGCGGCAACGACGACGACAAGAAUGGAGACAAGGCGGCAGUGCCGUCUCCAGUACAAUCCGGAGCGCGCCGUCCACGCCGCCGAACCGGCUAUCCUGUGAACCUCUCGGUCGCAGUGGACUACCGCCGCCACUCCAUCUUCCCUGUCGACGGUGAGCCCACCUCCCUCUGUCCUCCCCUAACCUCUCCGACCCCGCAUAUGUGCGCCGCCGAGCAUACCUGGAAUCAGCUGUCGCGCCCUUCUUCUGGUAUGCCCCUGGCACCACAUAUGCCUCACGCGGUACGCCGGUGCGGAGAGCCGUGAGAUCUCCACUGGCGGACCGGCCGCCGCUGGGGAAGAUCUAGGCGGCGGAGCCUGUCUCAGUACAACGGGCCGAGCGUCGGCCUCUUCUCCUCCAAGAGGCUGUCGCCGCCUGUAUGGACGACCGCCACUCGGGAUUCCUCGGCCGCCACUCCGUGCUCCUGGCCGCGUCCUCCGAGGACGAAGAAGAGAGCAUGGCCUCGUGGGGGAUCACCGAGGAUUGUGGCUACGCCAACUUCUCCGACCUCAUAGCCUAGGAGAUGGGGUGUGCUCCCGCGACUCCAGCCUGUUCGGGAGGACGGGGACCUGCACGGCAACCGAGUUGACGACGAGGAACAACACGUUGAUGAGCACAGAUUUGGAUUUUGGGCCACCCAGUGCUCCCCACAACACAAGAUCGGUAGGAGCAUCACAAUUUCAACGCAUUUGGUGAUAUCAGAGACCACUUCUUUUUUCAAACACAGUUUGUUCUUAUUUUCUUUUGCGUGGAAGCACUUGAUAUGCAAACAGCAAAACCGAAAGAGGCUUUGAGAGGAUUAGCUUACCAUCAGUGGCAGAUAUAUUGGCUCAAGAUGUUCAUGAACUUCCUACGAGGUAAGUGCCGUCGUGUCGGGUUGGGUCAUUUUUUCGACAUCGAAAGAAAGGCCGUGGAUUUUGUGCAGCUGGUGCCAAUGCAUGUGAAUAUUGAUAAUGAUAAUGCCUUCUCUACAUUUCAAAGCUUGUGGAGCAAACAAAUUUCCCCAUAGCCGCCAGUUUUCAGGGACUAUGAGAUCCUCUAUGUUGUAUGUCCAGGUCUGCAUUCUUUCUUGUGCCCCUGAAUCUCUUAUUUGGUUAUUUGUGUCUGGUAAAUGCUACCAGCUCAGCUACUUUAGUCCAUUGUACUGUAGUUAUUUGAGUGAUCUCAUAAACAUCAGUGGAUUCAGUGUGUUAUGCUCAUUAUCUCUCACUGUUAAGCAUUUUGUACUUCUGCACCAAGAGUUUCACCAAAGGCUUGGAUUUUCUUCAGGGCUUCCUCCUUCUCCCCCUUCAGCACUAGAUGAUGUUGGUAAUGGUGAAUUUGGAAUUAUCAGAAAUGCAAGGGCAAUGAAGCCAAUAGGUGAUGAUGUUGGAAUGCCCAAAAGAAAAGCUAAUGGGAUCCUAAUUUGAUGUUUUCUCCACUGUUAUAGCAUUGAUUGUUUGCAAUGCGGAUGCAUGGUUGCUGCUCAAGUUCAGGGAUUCAGAUGACAUGGCUCAAAGAUAUCCACAUAGUGCAAUUCCAAAAUUGUCCUGGUCUUCUGAACUUGCAUAGAGGAGGUUAUUCUGAAGUAAGUGUGGGAAAAAAGCCCUGGAUAGAUCAAAGAAAUACAUAAGAUGUCGCAGGCAAGAUUUGUGAUGUUGUACAAGUGCUUGGGAAGGACGUGCUAUCAACAUCAGCGAUUGUGGCGACCUGUCCUGUGUGUCACAAGUACUUUUUCUACUCCUCCUUGGACCACAAUUCCAAGAAUAUUUCCUUACACCGUACUUCUUCUUCAAGUACGCAGAGAAAGCUAUUGCAGCUGCGAA